rnacentral:lncRNA from 1 species
AAACGCUGUCUGCCCUUUAUCACACCUUCCCAUUGGCCCUGGCUCUGCCUUGUACCAGUCUCCUGAUCUCGAGGUGCUUGGGUCCCCACUGCUUACUGCAGCCCCUGGGAUCCGGAGGGUCCCCUCCCUCCCCACUCAUGUCCUCAGGCACAAGCCCAGCCCUGACCAGGGACCUCAGUGGGGAGUCCUGGGAGUGAGCCCACCCCNCCCCACCCCCACCCCUACUCCACCAGGUAUACAGAGAGCCAGAUCCCCCUCCCUCAGGGGCAGGGGCUUAGGCCUCCACAGGAGAUAAAGCUCUUGUCACAGUGAUGUGGGAGCCCUGGGUCCUGGCGUUGUAACCCUCCCUCGGCCACCCGUCCGGUUAUGGCAGGAGCAGGACCCAGGGACCCUCGACAAUCCAGGACCAGGACCUCCAGCUGGCCGUGUGCUGGAUGCCCAGGGAGCUCCCCCCUGAUGUGGGGACCAUCAAGAGCCAUCGGUUCCAGCAACACCUGCAAGAUUUGGAAUCGUGAGUGUACAAAUGGAAUCCGUAAGUAGGGGAAGCAGCCGGAAGGGGCUGGCCCCC